GGAGCCCUCCCCCAGCCCUCUGCAGCCUCUAUGGGAGCUGUCUCAUCUCUGCAGUAUGGUAGUGAUGGCAAUGGUGAUGAUAGCAGCCAGGCCCACUGCGAGCCUUUUGGUGACCCAAGGGCUUUGUAAACUGUUAUCUGAGUUCUUUGCUAUCUCAGCUUAUUUUCCCACCUCCUUCCCUCUCACAGAUAAAGAAUCCAAGGUGCAGAGAGAUGGGACUGCUGGAAGGAACGGAGCCAGAUCCACAAGAGCCUUCAUUCGGACGAUAAAUAUUCACUGAAGACCUGCCACCUGUCAGGCCCCAGGCCAGGAUUCAAACCCAGGUCUGCUUGACAAGGAAGGCCGGCCCUGUCUGUGGUGCCAGGAAAACUCUUUGGAGAAGAUGCCGCUCUCUCUGCCUGCGUGAAUCUUCUCUGUCCACAAAGGCCUGCUCCAUCAUCCCUCCUCCAGGAAGCUUUCCCUGACUGUCCCCAGGCCCAGCCAGGGUGUCUGGGGGUGCUGGAGAGACCCACAGAGCCUUGAUCACCGCGGCUGGCCCAUAAGUGUGGCGACUGAGUCCCAGUCUGGAGGCACAGCUGGACUUUCCCAGAGAGAACUGAGGCAUUGUGGGAAUUUCCCAGCAGUGACCCCAGGACCCUGAUUGCCCAGAAUGACUCCGAGUUCACAUAUCUGGGGACCGUCACCAAGACUCCUGUGUCCAUAUUGAACUCAGUAAACAUGAUGACCCUGGAGAUGUGCCCUCAGCAUUAUAACCACACUCUUGGCCCCUCCAGAAUUCAGAACCACUUUGGGAGUCCACCCUGAAGCCCAGUUCUUUUGAAAAGAAGGAAGAGAAG